UUGGUGAGGUAAUGGCUCACCAAGGCGACGACGGGUAGCCGGCCUGAGAGGGCGACCGGCCACACUGGGACUGAGACACGGCCCAGACUCCUACGGGAGGCAGCAGUGGGGAAUAUUGCACAAUGGGCGAAAGCCUGAUGCAGCGACGCCGCGUGAGGGAUGACGGCCUUCGGGUUGUAAACCUCUUUCAGCAGGGAAGAAGCGAAAGUGACGGUACCUGCAGAAGAAGCGCCGGCUAACUACGUGCCAGCAGCCGCGGUAAUACGUAGGGCGCAAGCGUUGUCCGGAAUUAUUGGGCGUAAAGAGCUCGUA
rnacentral:rRNA from 1 species